rnacentral:sRNA from 1 species
UGCACAGGAACCGCACGCCACUGACCCGA